UAUUGUGUACAGAAGAAUGGUCUUUUGAAUUUUUCAGAUGGAUGCAGCUUUCUAUAAUGCGUUGCGAUGGAAUCGAACAAUAGCCAUCUUUUAGGACAAAUGCAGAGAGCUAAAAAGAAAAAACCUUACACUCAAGAAACUUAAAUAGUCCUCGACUUGUGGAGACUCAUCAUUGGCCAAAAAGUACAAAGGAGUCAAAGUACAGAAGCGCUGCCAAUCUGUAAAUCCAAACGUGGAAGCAUUUGAAAAACACAAAAGCAUGCUAACAUUGCGCCAAACAUUGUUGAUAAAUUGAAUUUUCGGCCUUCGAGUAUAACCCUUAGGAACCCUCAUUUUUCUACACGUGUUUAUACGGAACUUAGCGCAUCUUUACACGAUCUUCUCAUAACCUCCUAACGUAGCCUCGUCCCUCGGCGGGCCUAUCACGCUAUGCAUGGCUAUGGCGUCACAGGCCCUUUCUGCUCUGAAGCGUCCGCCAUAUUGGAAAUUGUGAGUCUGCACGCAAAGCAUCAUGGUGAUGACAGCAAGGGAGUAGCCUGCCUCUAACCCGGGCCAAUUUUCAUCCCGGGGCAUGUAACCCGGCUCUCAGGAGCAGCCGAAAGCUAACCUGGGUUGUGAGCCAUGUGUGACAGACCUGUAGCCGGAGGGCGGGAGAAUCCCCGUAGCCAGAGGUUCUUCCCCCCUCCCCUCGACUGGGAGGUCCGCUCUCAUGAAUGGAAAUUGAGUACCACUGCAAGCUGGGACGAGCUACCUAAGGGAAAAUGUCAAUAAAACAAAGCUGCGAGCACACUAGAAUACAAACAACCCCCGAUUUUGUGGGCCAAGAGUUCGCGGAACAAUAAAUUGCAUUUACUCUGAA